ensembl:lncRNA
ACCGCCCACCAAGAUGGUGACGGGGAUUUCCCCAAGGCCAUAAGGCGAGGGUAAAUGGACGAGGGGGUAUGGUGUUACGUUUGUUUGCGUACGACUCCCAAGUUUUCAGUGCACAUAUCAAUCGCACCAGGGAGUAUGAGAUCCUCUGCGCUGGUGUGGGCUUUUUUUGCACUUACUACAAUGCGCUGGGACCGGGUUGUCUGCCUUGUUGUUGACAUUGGAAGCCGCAGUGGAUGAAGAGGGAGCUGCACGUUUUAUAAACGUGUCCAUGAUUUUUCUCUGACAGAUACAGUAUCCUACAUGAGUUAAAUGACAGCUAACUAUCCACAUGUGCAAUGCAUGCAGAACAAAUCUGCAUAGUUAGCGUAGUUAGCUCUCAAUCAAGCUAGCCAUAAGAAGAUCUGUAAUUAGGGUACUAGGGGGUAACUGGCCCCUAAAAACAAUGUCUAAAUGCUGACACAAAACAAUUGGUGUGUGGAUGAAGGUCAUGUUAACUAUAAAGGGAAAUAAAUCGUUAGAGUUGACACUUAAGUUAUUUAAUGAAAUGUUGUUUUUACAAAAGUGCAGUGAAUCCAUUUAAUCAGUUUUAUUUAGAAAUGCCUUAAGUAAUAAUUGAAAGCUAAGUCUUGUUCUCUUAUUUGUAUUAUUUAAAUAAAAUAUGGGGGGGAAAUGGUGUUGCACAUGUCUAUUAAUGUCUGCACUAUGAGGAGAUUUUAUGUAAAGUCCCUCUUUU